UACGUAGGGUGCAAGCGUUGUCCGGAAUUAUUGGGCGUAAAGAGCUCGUAGGCGGUUCGUCGCGUCUGCUGUGAAAACCUAAGGCUCAACCUUGGGCUUGCAGUGGGUACGGGCAGACUAGAGUGCGGUAGGGGUGACUGGAAUUCCUGGUGUAGCGGUGGAAUGCGCAGAUAUCAGGAGGAACACCGAUGGCGAAGGCAGGUCACUGGGCCGCAACUGACGCUGAGGAGCGAAAGCAUGGGGAGCGAACAGG
rnacentral:rRNA from 1 species